GAUGAACGCUAGCUACAGGCUUAACACAUGCAAGUCGAGGGGCAGCGGGGAUCUAGCUUGCUAGAUUUGCCGGCGACCGGCGCACGGGUGAGUAACACGUAUCCAACCUGGCCCAUACUCGGGUAUAGCCUCUCGAAAGGGAGAUUAAUCCCCGAUGUUGUUGUUUCACCGCAUGGUGUACCAACCAAAGAAUUUCGGUAUGGGAUGGGGAUGCGUUCCAUUAGCUUGUUGGCGGGGUAACGGCCCACCAAGGCGACGAUGGAUAGGGGUUCUGAGAGGAAGGUCCCCCACACUGGAACUGAGACACGGUCCAGACUCCUACGGGAGGCAGCAGUGAGGAAUAUUGGUCAAUGGGCGAGAGCCUGGACCAGCCAAGUAGCGUGAAGGAUGACUGCCCUACGGGUUGUAAACUUCUUUUGUUUGGGAAUAAAGUUCAGCACGUGUGCUGUUUUGUAUGUACCAUUCGAAUAAGCAUCGGCUAAUUCCGUGCCAGCCGCCGCGGUAAUAC
rnacentral:rRNA from 1 species